ensembl:lncRNA
AUAAAGUCUGUCACUGUUUCCAUUGCUUCCCCAUCUAUUUGCCAUGAAGUGAUGGUAACAGGUGCCAUGAUCGUAGUUUUUUAAAUGAGUAUUAAGCCAGUUUUUUUCACUCUUUUCCUUCAUUUUCAUCAAGAGGGUUCUUCUUCACUUUCUGCCAUAAGAGUGGUAUCAUCUGCAUAUCUGAGGUUAUUGAUAUUUCUCCUAGCAAUCUUGAUUCCAGCUUGUGCUUCAUCCAGCCUGGCAUUUCACACGGUGUUUGCUGCUUAUAAGUUAAAUAAGCAGGGUGACAAUAUUCAGACUUGACGUACUCCUUUCCCAAUUUGGGAACCAGCCCAUUUUUCCAUGUCUGGUUCUAACUGUUGCUUCUUGACCUGCAUGCAGGUUUCUCAGGUGGCAUAUAAGGUCAUCUGGUAUUCCCAUUUCUUCAAGAAUUUUCCACAAUUUGUUGUGAUCCACACAAAGGCUUUAGUGUAGUCAAUGAAAUAGAUGUUUUUUUUCUGGAAAUCUCUUGCUUUUUGUAUCAUCCAACAGAUGUUGGCAAUUUGACCUCUGGUUCCUCAGCACUUCUAAAUCCAGCUUGAGCAUCUGGAAAUUUUCAGUUCAUGUACUGUUGAAGCAUAGCUUGGAGAACUUUGAGCGCUUUGCUAGUGUGUGAGAUGAAUGCAAUUGUGUGGCAGUUUGAAUAUCCUUUGGCAUUGCCUUUCUUUGGGAUUGGAAUGAAAACUGACCUUUUCCAGUCCUGUGGCCACUGCUGAAUUUUCCAAAUUUGUUGGCAUGUCAAGUGCAGCACUUUAACAGCAUCAUCUUUUAGGAUUUGAAAUAGCUCCAUUGGAAUUCUGUCAUCCCCAAUAGCUUUGUUCAUAUUGAUGCUUCCUAAGACCCACUUGACUUUGUACUCCAGGGUGUCUGGCUGUAGGUGAGUGAUCACAUCAUUGGGGUUAUGGGUCAUUAAGAUCUUUUUUAUAUGGUUCCUUGUAUUCUUGCCACCUCUUCUUAAUAUCUUCUGCUUCUUUUACAUUUCUGUCCUUUAUUGUGCCCAUCUUUACAUGAAAUAUUUCCUUGAGAUCUCUUUCCUAUUCUAUUGUUUUUCUCUAUUUCUUUGUGUUGAUCACUGAGGAAGGCUUUCUCAUCUCUCCUUGCUAUUCGUUGAAACUGCAUUCAGAUGGGUAUAUCUUUCCUUUUCUCCUUUGUUUUUCGCUUCUCUUCUU